rnacentral:lncRNA from 1 species
AUACAAGUAAUUUAGGUCGACAAAAACUCAAAAAAAAAAAAAAAAAAGUUAACCGUGAAAUCCUGGAAGGACUGACUUAGGACUUAAAGACUGUUUAUGUAAACCUUGAGUGAAUUCGACAGUUGUGCAGCACGCAUGAUGUUAACAAAUCACUCGUGAAAUAUCUUUGCAGAAAAGAUGCAUGAAACUACAACUACAUCUUGUACAAACUCGUUUACACUUAUUAUAUGUUCAGAAAUAAUAUGAGGAAAAUGCUCCUGGCGCUUUAUUCUGAGGAGCGUCACGCGCGCGGUGUACGGAGCCCUGCACGUCACCUGUAGGAGAAAAAAUCAAUCCGUCCCCUCAGUUUAUAAACCGUGCUCACGAAUUCUUAAACUGUUCCCUCGGUUUAACAAAUCGUGCCCACGGAUUAAUAAACCGUACCCACGAAUUCAUAAUCCGUGCGCACGCUUUCGCAACCCGAGGGAACGGUUUACAAAAUCCGAGCGCGCGGAGUGAUUUGUUUCUCCUACAGGUGACGUGCAGGGCUCCGUAGUAAAGAGAUGCCUGUUGAUUUAACAGAAGUAGCAGUGACACUGCAGCUUUUUUUUUAUUUUAUGGUAGGGAUAAUAAAACAAAACACUUUAAACCUUUCUAAGUUACCACAAAUGUAACCCAAUAUUAUGAUCUGAUAGCACUAUUAAGGUAAAGUUAUUUAUAUAUUUUUUAAAGUUUAAAUCUAAUAAAGUGUGAGGGAAAAAUGCUGUUUUUCAUUUUUUUUACAGGAAGAUUAAAUAAUAGACAGCGCUCGUGAUUUAAAUGUAUUUAUGAUGCGGAUUAAAGCCGUCCUGCUGCGCAUGCGCGGAGCUCAGACAGCCGAAAUGGCGGCGAGUAACGGCGGAGGAAUGGAGGUGGACGCUACAGGGCUGAAAUCACAGAUCCUCUCGAGCUGUUACUGACUGACCGGCACUGCCUCGGGCUUGAUUUUGAUUGGUCAGGAAACCUCAUAAGUCCCGCCUUCUCGGCGCACUCUCUUCUGUGAUUGGCUGCUGUUUCUGACAAUAACAGCACGUGUAGUGUUUCUGCUUCAGAUUUGAGCGCUCGAGCUCUAGUGAGUAUUUUCAGGGUGUUUAUCGGGUAACAUGAGUUUAUUAUCUGAAGAUUAAAUGUAAUAGUUCUGUAUUCGCGUCAUUAAACUGUGUGGAGCUGAACAAACAAAAUGAGUGAAUGAUUAAAUCAGAAUAUUUCAGAAUCAGUGUUUGUGUGCCUGAAGGUGUUUUGAGAACGUUAUUAAAGAACAGAUAACUUUGAGCAAAAGAUCUGUUACUGUAACUGAAGAGAAUGUGUUCAUAACUCUGAGAGUGUUCCCUGUCAGCCACCAGAUGAGUUUAACAGAGUCAUACACACUUCUCAUCUGUGUGUGUGUGUGUGUGUGUGUGUGUGUGUGUGUGUGUGUGUGUGUGUGUGUGUGUGUGUGUGUGUGUGUGUGUGUCCAGUUUAAAUAGUAUCUGUGCAAUCAAGUCAUUGAUAUCACUGGAUAUUAAGAGCCCUAAACUUAACAAACCAGAGGAACCAAAACUCCGUCGGUGACAGAAUGGAGAAAAAACCUUGGGAGAAACCAGGCUCAGUCGGGGGGGCCAUAUAUUCUAUAUAUAUGAAUAAUAAAAUAAAUAUAAGGAAAACUCACCCUUAUAAUAUUCUUUAAUUUUUGUAGUCCAUAUGAAAAAGGUGCAUGUCUAUUAAGUCCAUGUGGAGAUGGCG